GAUGAACGCUGGCGGCGUGCCUAAUACAUGCAAGUCGAGCGAACGGACGCGAAGCUUGUGUCUCUGAUGUUAGCGGCGGACGGGUGAGUAACACGUGGAUAACCUACCUAUAAGACUGGGAUAACUUCGGGAAACCGGAGCUAAUACCGGAUAAUCUUUUGCACCGCAUGGUUCAAAAGUGAAAGACGGUCUUGCUGUCACUUAUCGAUGGUUCCGCGCUGCAUUAGCUAGUUGGUAAGGUAACGGCUUACCAAGGCAACGAUGCAUAGCCGACCUGAGAGAGGGAUCGGCCACACGAGAGCUGAGACACGGUCCAGACUCCUACGGGAGGCAGCAGUAGGGAAUCGUCCGCAAUAGGCGGGAGCCUGACGGAGCAACGCCGCGUGAGUGAUGAAGGUCUUCGGAUCGGGAAGCUGUGUUAUUAGGGAAGAACAGAUGUGGAAGUAACUGUGCACAGCUUGACGGUACCUAAUCAGAAAGCCACGGCUAACUACGUG
rnacentral:rRNA from 1 species